rnacentral:tRNA from 1 species
GCCGCUGUGGCGAAAUUGGCAGACGCGCUAGGUUUAGGACCUAGUGGAAGCAAUUCCGUGUCGGUUCAAAUCCGACCAGCGGCA